CCUGCCGGAUCAGUGGCGAACGGGUGAGUACACGUGAGCAAUCUGCCCCGGACUCUGGGAUAAGCGCUGGAAACGGCGUCUAAUACCGGAUACGACGCGCGAAGGCAUCUUCUGCGCGUGGAAAGAAUUUCGGUCCGGGAUGAGCUCGCGGCCUAUCAGCUUGUUGGUGAGGUAAUGGCUCACCAAGGCGACGACGGGUAGCCGGCCUGAGAGGGUGACCGGCCACACUGGGACUGAGACACGGCCCAGACUCCUACGGGAGGCAGCAGUGGGGAAUAUUGCACAAUGGGCGCAAGCCUGAUGCAGCAACGCCGCGUGAGGGACGACGGCCUUCGGGUUGUAAACCUCUUUUGGCAGGGAAGAAGCGAAAGUGACGGUACCUGCAGAAAAAGCACCGGCUAACUACGUGCCAGCAGCCGCGGUAAUACGUAGGGUGCAAGCGUUGUCCGGAAUUAUUGGGCGUAAAGAGCUCGUAGGCGGAUCGUCGCGUCUGCUGUGAAAACCCGAGGCUCAACCUCGGGGCCUGCAGUGGGUACAGGCGGACUAGAGUGCGGUACGGGAGAUUGGCAUUCCUGGGUGUAACGGUGGAAUGCGGCGAUAUUCGGGGGGACAC
rnacentral:rRNA from 1 species